CACUCCUACGGGAGGCAGCAGUGGGGAAUAUUGCACAAUGGGCGCAAGCCUGAUGCAGCCAUGCCGCGUGUAUGAAGAAGGCCUUCGGGUUGUAAAGUACUUUCAGCGGGGAGGAAGGCGAUAAGGUUAAUAACCUUGUCGAUUGACGUUACCCGCAGAAGAAGCACCGGCUAACUCCGUGCCAGCAGCCGCGGUAAUACGGAGGGUGCAAGCGUUAAUCGGAAUUACUGGGCGUAAAGCGCACGCAGGCGGUCUGUCAAGUCGGAUGUGAAAUCCCCGGGCUCAACCUGGGAACUGCAUUCGAAACUGGCAGGCUAGAGUCUUGUAGAGGGGGGUAGAAUUCCAGGUGUAGCGGUGAAAUGCGUAGAGAUCUGGAGGAAUACCGGUGGCGAAGGCGGCCCCCUGGACAAAGACUGACGCUCAGGUGCGAAAGCGUGGGGAGCAAACAGGAUUAGAAACCCCUGUAGUCCC
rnacentral:rRNA from 1 species